UACGGAGGGAGCUAGCGUUGUUCGGAAAUACUGGGCGUAAAGCGCGUGUAGGUGGAUUGGUGUGUCAGAUGUGAAAUCCCUGGGCUCAACCCAGGAACUGCACCUGAAACUACCAGUCUUGAGUGGUGGAGAGGGAAGUGGAAUUCCUGGUGUAGAGGUGAAAUUCGUAGAUAUCAGGAGGAACACCAGUGGCGAAGGCGGCUUCCUGGACACUAACUGACGCUGAGACGCGAAAGCGUGGGGAGCAAACAGG
rnacentral:rRNA from 1 species